AACGAACGCUGGCGGCAUGCCUAACACAUGCAAGUCGAACGAGACCUUCGGGUCUAGUGGCGCACGGGUGCGUAACGCGUGGGAACCUUCCCUUAGGUUCGGAAUAACUCCCCGAAAGGGGUGCUAAUACCGGAUAAUGUCUUCGGACCAAAGAUUUAUCGCCUUUGGAUGGGCCCGCGUUGGAUUAGCUAGUUGGUAGGGUAAAAGCCUACCAAGGCGACGAUCCAUAGCUGGUCUGAGAGGAUGAUCAGCCACACUGGGACUGAGACACGGCCCAGACUCCUACGGGAGGCAGCAGUGGGGAAUAUUGGACAAUGCGCGAGAGCCUGAUCCAGCAAUGCCGCGUGAGUGAUGAAGGCCUUAGGGUUGUAAAGCUCUUUUACCCGGGAUGAUAAUGACAGUACCGGGAGAAUAAGCGCCGGCUAACUCCGUG
rnacentral:rRNA from 1 species